GACGAACGCUGGCGGCGUGCCUAAUACAUGCAAGUAGAACGCUGAAGGAGGAGCUUGCUUCUCUGGAUGAGUUGCGAACGGGUGAGUAACGCGUAGGUAACCUGCCUGGUAGCGGGGGAUAACUAUUGGAAACGAUAGCUAAUACCGCAUAAUAUUGACUAUUGCAUGAUAGUCAGUUGAAAGGUGCAACUGCACCACUACCAGAUGGACCUGCGUUGUAUUAGCUAGUUGGUGGGGUAACGGCUCACCAAGGCGACGAUACAUAGCCGACCUGAGAGGGGGCUCGGCCACACUGGGACUGAGACACGGCCCAGACUCCUACGGGAGGCAGCAGUAGGGAAUCUUCGGCAAUGGACGGAAGUCUGACCGAGCAACGCCGCGUGAGUGAAGAAGGUUUUCGGAUCGCAAAGCUCUGUUGUAAGAGAAGAACGAGUGUGAGAGUGGAAAGCUCACACUGUGACGGUAUCUUACCAGAAAGGGACGGCUAACUACGUG
rnacentral:rRNA from 1 species